UACGGGGGGGGCAAGCGUUGUCCGGAUUUAUUGGGUUUAAAGGGUGCGUAGGCGGCUUUGUAAGUCAGUGGUGAAAUAUGGCAGCUCAACUGUCAGGGUGCCAUUGAUACUGCGGAGCUUGAGUACAGAUGAGGUAGGCGGAAUUGACGGUGUAGCGGUGAAAUGCUUAGAUAUCGUCAAGAACACCGAUAGCGAAGGCAGCUUACUAGGCUGUAACUGACGCUGAGGCACGAAAGUGUGGGGAUCAAACAGG
rnacentral:rRNA from 1 species